rnacentral:rRNA from 1 species
AUUGAACGCUGGCGGCAGGCCUAACACAUGCAAGUCGAGCGGACGAAGGGAGCUUGCUCCUGGAUUCAGCGGCGGACGGGUGAGUAACGCCUAGGAAUCUGCCUGGUAGUGCGGGAUAACGUCCGGAAACGGGCGCUAAUACCGCAUACGACCGGAGGGAGAAAGUGGGGGACCUUCGGACCUCACGCUAUCAGAUGAGCCUAGGUCGGAUUAGCUAGUCGGUGGGGUAAAGGCCUACCAAGGGGACGAUCCGUAACUGGUCUGAGAGGAUGGGCAGAGACACUGGGACUGAGGCACGGUCCACACUCCUACGGGGGGCCGCAGUGGGGAAUAUUGGGCGAUGGGCGAGAGCCUGAUCCCGCCAUGCCGCGUGUGUGAAGAAGGUCUUCGGAUUGUAAAGCACUUUAAGUUGGGAGGAUGGGCAGUAUGUUAAUACCUUGCUGUAUUGACGUUACCAACAGAAUAAGCACCGGCUAACUUCGUG